rnacentral:rRNA from 1 species
CCUACGGGUGGCAGCAGUGGGGAAUAUUGCACAAUGGGGGAAACCCUGAUGCAGCGACGCCGCGUGAGUGAAGAAGUAAUUCGUUAUGUAAAGCUCUAUCAGCAGGGAAGAAAAUGACGGUACCUGAGUAAGAAGCCCCGGCUAACUACGUGCCAGCAGCCGCGGUAAUACGUAGGGGGCAAGCGUUAUCCGGAUUUACUGGGUGUAAAGGGAGCGUAGACGGCAGUGCAAGUCUGGAGUGAAAGGCGGGGGCUCAACCCCCGGGACUGCUCUUGGAACUGCGCGGCUGGAGUGCAGGAGGGGCAGGCGGAAUUCCUGGUGUAGCGGUGAAAUGCGUAGAUAUCAGGAGGAACACCGGUGGCGAAGGCGGCCUGCUGGACUGCGACUGACGUUGAGGCCCGAAAGCGUGGGGAGCAAACAGGAUUAGAUACCCUGGUAGUC